rnacentral:rRNA from 1 species
UACGUAGGUGACAAGCGUUGUCCGGAUUUACUGGGCGUAAAGAGCGCGCAGGCGGUCGUUCAAGUCGAGUGUGAAAGCCCCCGGCUCAACUGGGGAGGGUCAUUCGAUACUGAUCGACUCGAAGGCAGGAGAGGGUAGUGGAAUUCCCGGUGUAGUGGUGAAAUGCGUAGAUAUCGGGAGGAACACCAGUGGCGAAGGCGGCUACCUGGCCUGUUCUUGACGCUGAGGCGCGAAAGCGUGGGGAGCAAACAGG